UCGUUGCUGUAGGUGACGUUGUUGAUCACCGUGUUGUAGUCGCUGCCGGUCAGUUCGAUCCCGGCGGCGUCGGUC
rnacentral:tRNA from 4 species